rnacentral:rRNA from 1 species
UACAGAGGGGGGCAAGCGUUGUUCGGAAUUACUGGGCGUAAAGGGCGCGUAGGCGGCCCGCUAAGUCGAACGUGAAAUCCCCGGGCUCAACCCGGGAACUGCGUCCGAUACUGGUGGGCUCGAAUCCGGGAGAGGGAUGCGGAAUUCCAGGUGUAGCGGUGAAAUGCGUAGAUAUCUGGAGGAACACCGGUGGCGAAGGCGGCAUCCUGGACCGGUAUUGACGCUGAGGCGCGAAAGCCAGGGGAGCAAACGGG